rnacentral:rRNA from 1 species
UACGUAGGGGGCUAGCGUUGUCCGGAAUUAUUGGGCGUAAAGGGCGCGUAGGCGGCUUGGCAAGUGGAAGGUGAAAUCCCUCGGCUCAACUGAGGAACUGCCUUCCAGACUGCUUUGCUUGAGUCCGGGAGAGGUGAGUGGAAUUCCCAGUGUAGCGGUGAAAUGCGUAGAUAUUGGGAGGAACACCAGUGGCGAAGGCGGCUCACUGGACCGGAACUGACGCUGAGGCGCGAAAGCGUGGGGAGCAAACGGG